rnacentral:rRNA from 1 species
UACGAAGGGGGCUAGCGUUGUUCGGAAUUACUGGGCGUAAAGGGCGCGUAGGCGGUGCGUCAAGUCAGGCGUGAAAGCCCCGGGCUCAACCUGGGAACCGCGCUUGAGACUGGCACGCUCGAGUUCGGGAGAGGAUGGUGGAAUUCCCAGUGUAGAGGUGAAAUUCGUAGAUAUUGGGAAGAACACCGAUGGCGAAGGCAGCCAUCUGGACCGACACUGACGCUGAGGCGCGAAAGCGUGGGGAGCAAACAGG